CUAAAAUACAUGCUGAUUGGCAUUCGGUGUUCUAGAAAGAUCGAGCUCUCUGCCUCGUGUACCACUAAAUGAUAAUGUAGUCGGGUUUACUCAAAGAAGCCCAUGGAAGAUGUAAGAUCGAAUUGAACACCGAUAAGGAACGACUAUUUGUUAGUGAAGUGGUGUUACAGUAUUUAAACAACGCCGAGUUCUUCACUUGUUAUCGUCUGCUUUCUGUGUACAGACGAACCUUUAUGGCAGCGGAACACCACACAGAUUGGUGACGUCAGGAGUAUCCAAUUGCUCAAUUUGAUGAUGUAACCAGAAACUGUGACAAUUGAUGAUCCGGUGUCUAUCAUUCUAGAAAAAGUCAAAUAACACAGCGAUAUAAAUGUAGUCGCGCCGUCACGCUAACGAUUUCUAAAACAAAUUGAAAAACCAAAUAAGGGAAAAAAGAGACCAAUCUGGAAUUUUGUGAGUAGUUAAGAGAUUCCAGAAGAUCGAAGGAAAAGCGUCAUUGAUUUUUAGAUAAUGUUUUAAUGGACAGGUGUAGUUAAUAACUUUGAUAGAACCAGACAAAAACAACAAGAAACACAUUAAACAUCAUGUUUUAACUCAGAUGAUCACAAUAGGAGAACAAUGCUGAUAAUGGAAUGGUUAGUUAUUCUUUUUGGAGUGAAUCUUCUGCAAUUAGUGCGAAGCUUUUGUCUACAAAAUUCGUCUUCCACUUGUUACGUGUCGUUUGCGGAAUUACGGAAACACGUGACCAGUAUCCAGGUAACGGAUUUAUUGGUGCCAGAUAAAAAUAACACGAAUCACAAAGUGGUGUGUAGAUUGUAUGAAGAAUAUAGAUCUUGUAAAUAUACGGGUUUAACCGACUGUUACAACGAAAAACAAAACGAAAUGAAUAUAAUAGAUGAGGUUUUUGAUCCAAUCUGCAGCAAAGAAUUUCAUGAUUUUGUAACAGAAAGUCAUUGCAUCCACCGAUUAAGACGCCAUUUUAAAGUUUGCCAUCGUAAAAAACACUGGAAAGAUAAGAAAUCACCAUCAAUAAGAAGUUUACAUUCAUCUCACCAUUUAGAAAAUCGACACUGCAACAUAACCAAGGACUAUAUAAUGUGUCUGUAUAGUGUUACAGCUUUGGGCUGUUCAAUAGACGUAGCUGAGAAUUAUUUCUCUAUAUUAAAUCAAAGCCUUUCAACUGCCUUCAAAUAUCGGGGACAAUUAUGCAUACUAAACCAUCCAUUAACAGCAGUUUCGACUACGUCAGCAUCAAGAUUGAUGAUGUCACACCCACUAUUGACGACACCAUCAUCUGUGUAUAGUAAUUUAGGAAGUGGGACAACACCAAUGACCGUUUCUAAUAAUAUGUACAAAGUUUUGUAUGCUUUUGUAUUUUUGUGUUUAUUACGUAUUUAUAUAGAAAAAUAAACUGUUUUGUGAUUAGAUUUAGACAGAUAAUGUGAUUAAACUAUUUUGGUAAAAAGAGUUGAUGAACGUUCUUUUUUAUAAAUUUCACAAGGUUUUGUUAACACUGUCAGUUUGGUGUGUGAACCAGGGUGUCACAGCGAGGGACUAAGAUUAGAAACACGUUUAGAUUUAUCCAGCUAAGUGUAUAUUUCAGGAGUAAAUAUGUAAAUAUGAUAUGUCUUAAUUAUCUAUUGGACCA